rnacentral:lncRNA from 1 species
GCGUUGGGAGCCAUGGAAGUGUCCUGCUCUUCUGUCUCUUCUUGCUUGUACAACAAAAGAGGACCAGUAUCUUCAAAUUUCCCUCUUCUAGUUCAGCUAUGGCACUCACCACCUCUUGAUUGGUUUUGUCAUCCUGCGUCAUACAGAAAACUGUAAGCUCCUUUGGGCUAAGACUGUUAUUUAUUUCUCUGGGAUUGGCAC